CUAUAUAUCCAUAAAAGGAGACAGGAUCAAUGUUUAAGUAUUCUGUCUGGAGCAUGUUUUCUGCUUUCUCAGUACAUUUUAUUACACAUAUGGGUGUUGGACAUCCACUUUCCAUUGUAUGAAUUUGCAUUAUAGUUAAAAACAAGUCCCCUGUACCAGAAGAAAAUGGGAAUUGAAUAUAAAGUUCACAGGUUCAACAGCAAG